UUUUUUUAUUGUGACCCUUUUUUUUUUAUUUAUUGUGACCUUUUCUUUCUUGUUUAAAUUUCCUGAUAUACUGUCUUCUACGUCUCCUUAGGUCACCUGCUUAAGGAAUAGACUAAAAUGGUUGCCAGAGUAUUUACUCCAUUCUAUUUUCAGUGAGAAUGAGGACUAGGCCUUCUUCUCUAUAUCUCUCCCUAAAUAAUUUCAUUUGGCCCCAUGAUCUUAAGUAUCAUCUAUCAUUGUAUGGAUCUCAAAUCUAUAACUAUAUCCCAGAUCUUUUUCACUUCCAGGCUUAUAUAUCCAAGGCCUCUGACCUUCUUCAUUUAUAUAGCUAGUAGUUACUUAAAACUCAAAAUGUUUGAAAAAAUAUUUAAAACAUCAAAAUCACAACAAGAUACCAACUCACACCAAUCAGAGUGGCUAAAAUUAACAAGUCAGGAAAUAACAAAUGUUGGUGAGGAUGCAGAAAAAGGGGAACUCUCAUAUGCUGCUGGUAGGAAUGCAAGGUGGUACAGCCACUCUGGAAAACAGCAUGGAGAUUCCUCGAAAAGUUGAAAAUAGAGCUACUCUAGGACACAGCAAUUGCACCACUAGGGAUUUAGCCAAAAGAUACAAAUGUAAUGAUCUGAAGGGGCACCUGUACCCCAGUGUUUAUAGCAACAAUGUCCACAAUAGUCAAACAUGGAAAGAGCGUAGAUGUCCAUCAACAGAUGAAUGGAUAAAGAAGAUGUUGUCUAUAUAUACAGUGGAAUACUAUUCAGCCAUCAAAAAUGAAAUCUUACCAUAUACAAUGAUGUGGAUGGAACUAGAGGGUAUUUUUUUAAGAUUUUAUUUUUAUUUAUUUAUUCAUGAGAGACAGAGAGAUAGAUAGAGAUAGAGAUAGAGAUAGAGAUAGAGAUAGAGAGAGAGAGAGAGAAGAGAGAAAGAGGAAGAAGCGGCUCCAUGCGGGGAGCCCGAGGCGGGACUCAAUUCCAGGUCUCCAGGAUCAGACCCUGGCCUGAAGGCGAUGCUAAAUCACUGAGCCACCCUGGCUAGAGGGUAUUAUGCUAAGCAAAAUAAGUCAAUCAGAGAAAGACAAUUAUCAUAUGACCUCAUUCAUAUGUGGAAUUUAAGAAACAAAACAGAAGAGCAUAGAUAAAGGGAUGGAAAAAUAAAAUAAGAUGAAAUCAGAGAAGGACACAAACCAUAAGAGACUCUUAACCAUAGGAAACAAACUGAGGGUCACUGGAGGGGAGGUAGGUGAGGGGAUGGGGUAACUGGAUGAGGGCAUUAAGGAGGACACAUGAUGUGAUGAGCAUCGAGUGUUAUAUUCAACUGAUGAAUCACUGACCUCUACCUCUGAAGCUAAUAAUAAACUAUAUUAAUUAAACUUAAAUAAAAUAAAAAAGAAAAAGUGUUCGAAAUAGAGCUUUGACUCCCUCAUAUAAGAUUAUUGUUCCUUCAGUCCCUCCUGAUAGGUAACAUUGCCCAUUCCCUAGGUUGUUCAAGCUAAAAACCACACAGUAACUAUAGUUAUUAUCUUCCCUUCCUCUACCUUCUCUUGCUCCAUAUUUGGUCUGAUGUCAAGUCCUAUUGUCUCUGAAACAAAUUCCAAGUGCAUUCACUUCUCUUUAUCUUCCAUAGCCACUACUCUAGCCCACACUGUCUUCAUCUCUUACCUGUGUUAUUUCAAGAACUUUCUAACUUGUUUCCCUAUUCCCACUCUUGCUCUCCUUUCAUCCACUAUGUCCCCAGUAGCUCAUUUGUUUAUGUUAUUAUAAUGUGGCUAAUAUUUUUAAAACAUAGUUUAUAUCUUAUCACUGUUUUACAUAAAAUCCUUCUAUGGCUUUUCUAUUGACCCUUAAAAUCUAAACUCUACAGCAUGAUUUGAAGACCAACAUGAGCUGCCAUCUGUGAACUACCUACUGUGGUCCACUCUUCCUGUUGCUCACUUAUGGUCCAAAUACACUGGCCUCCUUUCCUUCCAUUAACUCAUUCAGCAUAUGACUGAACAGCUCCCAAGGCCACUCUUUUUCAGCAGUGAACUAAAAAUGUCCCUGUUCACAGGAGUUUACAUUUUAGGGAACAGACAGUAUUUACUCUGGCAUGGAAGGAUGGCAUAACUGUUAUAAAUUAACCGUAAAACAAAAAAAUAAAAUAACAAGUGAUUGAGGCUACUAUAAUUAGGUGGAGUGGUACAGAGCAGAGAACUGAAGAAAGAAAAGGUAUGAGUCAAGAGAACUCUUAUAGACUACUAAUCAAGGCAUAGGAAACAGAAAAGGUGAACAUUUUGAAAUGAGAACGUGCUUGUAUUUUGAAGAACAACAAAAAAGUUCAGUGCAGCUGGAAUAGAGUGAAUGAUAGAGAGAGGUAUCAAUGUUCCAUGUCAUGUUUUUCUUUGUAAGGACUUGAGCUUUCAUAGUAAGUGAGGUAAAGAGCCUCUAAAAGAUGUUGCACAGAGGAGCAUCUGACUCAAUCUGAUCCCUGGGAGAUGAGUAAGUUCAGAUAAGAACUUCAGUUCAAGUGAGAAAUUGUGAUGACUUGGAUGAGAGAGGAAGAAGUAGAUGUGGAGAGAAAUAACAGAUUUGAAAAUAUGUUCUGAAAGUAGUACUGACAUAAUUUACUAAUGGGUUGGAUAUGGAAUGUGGGAAAAAGAGAGAGGAGUCAAGAAUGAUUACAAGUUAUUACACUGGCCAACUAGAUGAAUGAGUGGUGAUAAGCUAUGGAGUCCACAGAGUCCUAGGUCCUAAUAUUAGUCCAUAAACAAAUAACGUAUUCAACAAAUAGUUAUUGAGUGCCUAUUGUAUAUGCCAAGUAUAGUGCUGGGCAUUGAGUGUACUAAGGUGACCUAAAUUCUGAUCCUACCCCUAAAGUAUUCACAAUAGAACAUGAGACACAUGCACACAAUGAAUGUAAAGCUUCCAUACAUUCAUCAACUGAACAGGAUUCAAAGGACACACAGUAGUAAAUACUCCAAACUCAGGUAGAAAUCCUGGAGUUAUUUCCAACCUUUCUCAUCAAAUCUUUCUGUGUACUGUGGCAGUUUGCAAUUUCAUCUCUUUUAAUUUUCUAUUAUAGCUACAAAUCAGAAAUAUCAUUAUUUGGUGACCACGUAAAUGGUAUAUCAUUUCUCAUUUAAACAUAAUUUACCACUCCAAUGUGAGUUCAGUGUGUUUAUCAGGAAGAGGAAACUGCAGGCUAAGAAUACAUUGAUCUAAAUAUCUAACUCAGUUGCUAACAGGAACACAAAUAGAUUCAUAAGUAAUGAGAUGAUUGACCUUACGUCACUAACAGUAAAUACUUUCAACUAGAGAUUUCCCUGUAAUUGUUGUAAUUAAGGAUACCUUUCCGGAUCUAUACUUUUUGGGUGUGUGGAAGUCACAAAUGUGCCAUGAACCCAGAUCAAUGGCCAUUUGCCAAGCUCCAUCAACACACCCUUUCUGGGCUUCUUGUUCCAAUCACAGCAGAUAUGGCCAAAUUCUAAAAAAAGGGAACAUUCUGUGGUUUUGAAAUAUGAGUGGAUAUAAAAGACAGCAGGUGGCUAAAAUUGGAUGGAAUGUUCAAAUUUUAAUUAAACUAUCAAUGCAAUUGCUAAUGAUAGGAAUAUCAACAGUUUGUUCAAGGAAUAAAGACUAAAGCCAGUGAGAAAGUAGAAUAAAUUAACAGAUAUUCGAGACUAUGUUAGAUAACUCACUUAGAGUCUUAAAAACUUAAACAUAACUCAGUCAUCUUCCUCUUGUGUGAUUCUUUCCCCUUCUCUUAGGUAUGGUUACAUGCCCCUUUGGGAUGCUCUCACAACUCUCUGCACAUAGCUCCAUUUUAUAGUCUCCUCUUGACAAUGGAUAUUGCAUGAAUGGAAGAGCAGUCCUGAGUCUUCAUGGAAACUUAAUACUUGGAGGCUGUAAGCCAAUUUCAAGGUUCUCAGAUAAUCCUUUCAGCUAAGUGAUUAUUAAAAAGAUAGAGUAAUAGUAUUUUUUUAGGAGCCUCUGCUGUAUCAGACAUGUUUAGGGCUAUAAAUGCAUUACCAUAUGUAAUCUGCAUAAAGAUUUCCAAGGUAGGUAUUAUCACUUAAAAAAAAUAGAAAACUCAGUAUCAGAAAUGUGAAGACCUUGUCCAAGGUCACAUAGUCAAAAUAUAGAAUCACUAGGAUCCAAACUUAGGCUUACAAGUAUUUAAAAACAUUCAACAUUGGUCUCAAGGUCCUUGAGGCCAGAAAAUAAAUUAGUGUAAAACUUGUCAUUAGGUUUCUCCAGGGGUGGCUAUAUAUAGUCUUAGAAACAGAGUCACUGAUAAAAUACUUCUCUUUAGCCUACACAAGUGUUUCUCAAAUUUGGCAUUGCUGACAUAUGGGGUUGGGUAGUUCUUCAUCGCUGGGGACUUUCCUGUGCAUUGUUGGAUAUUUAGCAUCAUCACUGGCUACUACUUAUUGAAUGCCAGUAGCACCUCCUGAAUUGUAACAGCCUAAAAUAUCUUCAGAUAUUGCUCAAUAUCUCUUGCCCCAUAGAACCACUUGUCCACACACAGAAUAAUUCUGUCUCAUGCUUCUUACAAGGACAGUGUGUGUGUGUGUGUGUGUGUGUGUGUGUGUGUGUGUGUGUAUGAGAGAGACUGAAUUUAUUACAGGACUCCCUCCAGCUUAGCUAUAAUGAACUCCACCUGAAAGUGAAGUGAGAAAAAAAAGAAGGGACUUAAUGAGUUGCUAAAAUGUUCUAAAGUUAAUAUUUAACUCAAAUGGGAUCAGCACUUUCUUGGAACAAAAUGUGUAACUGAAAGACAAAAACAGAAGUCUUUGUAAAGGCGCUUUUCUGCUGCAUGAAUCAGACCCUAGAGUCCCACUCCACUAAACUUUACAGCACACAUUUUCUUAAUGGCAACUAGGGAAACUAGAUACUAAUACUACCCACCC
rnacentral:lncRNA from 1 species